ACCGAAGUGGCGGAAUGGUAGACGCGAUGGUCUCAAACACCAUUAGCUGCAAGGCUGUGCGGGUUCGAGUCCCGCCUUCGGUA
rnacentral:tRNA from 1 species